rnacentral:rRNA from 1 species
UACAGAGGGGGCAAGCGUUGUUCGGAAUUACUGGGCGUAAAGAGCUCGUAGGUGGUUUGUCGCGUUGUUCGUGAAAACUCACAGCUUAACUGUGGGCGUGCGGGCGAUACGGGCAGACUGGAGUACUGCAGGGGAGACUGGAAUUCCUGGUGUAGCGGUGGAAUGCGCAGAUAUCAGGAGGAACACCAAUAGCGAAGGCAGCUCGCUGGGACGGUACUGACGCUAAGGCGCGAAAGCGUGGGGAGCGAACAGG